UACGAAGGGGGCUAGCGUUGUUCGGAUUUACUGGGCGUAAAGCGCGUGUAGGCGGACUGGAAAGUUGGGGGUGAAAUCCCGAGGCUCAACCUCGGAACUGCCUCCAAAACUUCCAGUCUGGACUCAAGCAGAGGCAAGUGGAAUUGCGAGUGUAGAGGUGAAAUUCGUAGAUAUUCGCAGGAACACCAGUGGCGAAGGCGACUUGCUGGGCUUGUAGUGACGCUGAGACGCGAAAGCGUGGGGAGCAAACAGGAUUAGAAACCCUUGUAGUCC
rnacentral:rRNA from 1 species